UUUCAGUUAUGAUUACUCCUCUUUCAACAUUUCUUUUUCAAGUAUGUAUUUUCCUUUUCAUUGUUAUUUCCCUUUCAUUUAUUAUUUAUUUAAAAAAAAACAAAAAAAAAAUAUUUAUAAUAUAUAUUUAUUUUAAAGUUAAGUCCCUAUUGUGAAUUUUUUUUAUUAUCUAUUCCCCUCAAUUUUCUUGAGCCAUUCAACACACUCAAAAAGUAUAAAGGUUGCCUAUUUUAUCAAACUUGAGUAAAAUUAAG
rnacentral:lncRNA from 1 species